AAAUUUUAGUUGACAACCAAGACUUAGUAUGUUAUAAAUAAUACAUAGUUGUUUGAUACAGCUUUAAAUUCGCAACACUCGGGGGCAGUACCCGACGUCUCCACCAAACUACUACAUCGGGGGACGACCUAGGAUCGACUGUGAAUGGAUAAGUAAAGUGUAGACUAUCGGUUGAGUUCCGUAAUUGAUUCAAACUUGCUAAACGCAAAUCUAAACUACGCGCCAGUCGAAUUGGCAAUUGCAGCAUAAUUUUGCUGCGGGGCAUGAGUUCCACCUUGCAACAGAACGGACUCACU
rnacentral:tmRNA from 1 species